rnacentral:rRNA from 1 species
GACGAACGCUGGCGGCGUGCUUAACACAUGCAAGUCGAACGAAGUGGCGAACGGGUGAGUAACGCGUAAUCAACCUGCCCUUCAGAGGGGGACAACAGUUGGAAACGACUGCUAAUACCGCAUACUGAAGGAGGGGAUUGCGUCUGAUUAGCUAGUUGGAGGGGUAACGGCCCACCAAGGAGAUGAUCAGUAGCCGGUCUGAGAGGAGGAACGGCAACAAUGGGACGGAGACACGGCCCAGACUCCGACGGGAGGCAGCAGUGGGGAAGCUUCCGCAAUGGACGAAAGUCUGACGGAGCAACGCCGCGUGAGUGAUGACGGCCGUCGGGUUGUAAAGCGCUGUUAAUCGGGACGCGGUACCGGAAGAGAAAGCCACGGCUAACUACGUGCCAGCCGCCGCGGUAAUUC